CGGUGGCAGCCCUACCUCUCCCAUUACUCUGUUUUCUCCUCAGAUCGGUUCCGACAGCGGUUGGCGAAGCCCUGCUGGCACUUCUCCACCAUCAUCUCCACCAUGCCGUCGUGCUGGUUGAGAUCCAAUCUACUUCUCCUUACUCUCUUGCUGGAUCAAGAAGAAGGAGAUGUCAUCGAGCCGUACGUGUGCUGAACGCGGAGGUGUCGUCCAUUCGACGCAAGAUCGGGACGGAUCAUGAUAGGAUCAUGGGAUGUAUUGUGAGUGGAUUGCGAAGACGUUCGACUACAUCAACCGCGUUAUAUACGGUUCCGCUUAGCGAUAUACAAGGGUAUGUAGAUGCACU
rnacentral:lncRNA from 1 species